rnacentral:rRNA from 1 species
UACGUAGGGUCCAAGCGUUAAUCGGAAUUACUGGGCGUAAAGCGUGCGCAGGCGGCUUUGCAAGUCCGACGUGAAAUCCCCGGGCUUAACCUGGGAAUGGCGCUUGAAACUACGGAGCUGGAGUGUGGCAGAGGGAGGUAGAAUUCCACGUGUAGCGGUGAAAUGCGUAGAUAUGUGGAGGAAUACCGAUGGCGAAGGCAGCCUCCUGGGCCAACACUGACGCUCAUGCACGAAAGCGUGGGGAGCAAACAGG